CCUACGGGAGGCUGCAGUGGGGAAUAUUGCUCAAUGGGGGAAACCCUGAAGCAGCGACGCCGCGUGAGCGAGGAAGUAUUUCGGUAUGUAAAGCUCUAUCAGCAGGGACGAAAAAACUCGGUACCUUACCAAGAAGCCCCUGCUAACUACGUGACAGAAGCCUCGGUAAUAGGUAGGGGGCAAGAUUUAUCCGUAUUUACUGGGGGUAAAGGGAGCGUAGACGGGAAGGCAAGCCAGAAGUGAAAGGUCAGGGCUCAACCCUGUACAUGCUUUUGAAACUGUGGUGCUAGAGUGCAGGAGAGGUAAGUGGAAGUCCGAGUGUAGCGGUGAAAUGCGUAGAUAUUAGGAGGAACACCAGUGGCGAAGGCGGCUUACUGGACUGUCACUGACGUUGAGGCACGAAAGCGUGGGGAGCAAACAGGAUUAGAUACCCCUGUAGUC
rnacentral:rRNA from 1 species